CGAAACCAAAACCCUAACGAAGCUUCUUCUUGCUUUUAAAAGCUUUGAUGGUGUAGCCAAAGUCCGUAUAAGUCGUUUGCGUUUUGUCUUCUAACAUGGAAAAACUACUUUGGCUUUUAAGAUCUCGUUGCGGUUCUAGUUCUUAUACUUAAUCAUACACAUGACAUCUAGUCAUAUUCGACUCCAAAACACUAACCAAGCUUCUUCCUGCUUCUCAAAGCUUUGAUGGUGUAGCUGAAGCCCGUA
rnacentral:sRNA from 1 species